rnacentral:rRNA from 1 species
CAGUCGCCACGGUAAUACGUAGGUGGCAAGCGUUGUCCGGAAUUAUUGGGCGUAAAGGGCUCGCAGGCGGUUUCUUAAGUCUGAUGUGAAAGCCCCCGGCUCAACCGGGGAUGGUCAUUGGAAACUGGGAAACUUGAGUGCAGAAGAGGAGAGUGGAAUUCCACGUGUAGCGGUGAAAUGCGUAGAGAUGUGGAGGAACACCAGUGGCGAAGGCGACUCUCUGGUCUGUAACUGACGCUGAGGAGCGAAAGCGUGGGGAGCGAACAGGAUUAGAUACCCCAGUAGUCCCUGUCUCUUAUAC